rnacentral:misc_RNA from 1 species
AAGUCGUAACAAGGUUUCCGUAGGUGAACCUGCGGAAGGAUCAUCACGAGAGGGAUGCCGCAAGGUGCACCACUACACUGUGUUGCUGAGCGAUGAGUGUGGCCAAAGCGCAAGCUGCCGCACACGUCUAUUGACACCAUGAAAUGAACCAGCUGAACAGCACUUAAUCAAUCAACACAACUGUUAGCAACGGAUCACUUGGUUCUC